GGCCGGAUAAGGCGUUUAUGCCGCAUCCGGCAGUUAUGCGCAGAUGCCUGAUGCGACGCUGGCGCGUCUUAUCAUGCC
rfam:Escherichia coli str. K-12 substr. MG1655, complete genome.